GUGAGUCAUCGAAUCUUUGAACGCAAAUUGCGCUCGAGGCUUCGGCCAAGAGCAUGUCUGCCUCAGCGUCGGCUACUACCCUCAACUAAGUUUCCUAUCAUUGAUAGGGGAUGCCAGUUGGAUCUGGCCGUCCGGUUUGCCUUUCAGGUUGCCGGUCAGCUGAAAUACAUUCACGCUCUGGGGGCUGCUUUCCUCGAAAGGCUACUUUCGAGGGGAGGUGAGUUCCGAUUUGGUAGGUGACCUUUGCCGGUUGCAUGCCUUCGUUGCCCGCUAAGCUUCCCAGUAGUCGUUGUGCAGGAC
rnacentral:misc_RNA from 1 species